rnacentral:rRNA from 1 species
UCAAGUAAUUAAGUGCAUGUGGUGGAUGCCUUGGCAGUCAGAGGCGAUGAAAGACGUGAUAGCCUGCGAAAAGCUCCGGGGAGGCGGCAAAUAUCCUUUGAUCCGGAGAUGUCUGAAUGGGGGAACCCACCUACUUUAAGGUAGGUAUUGCAACAUGAAUACAUAGUGUUGCAAGGCGAACGAGGGGAAGUGAAACAUCUCAGUACCCUUAGGAAAAGAAAUCAAUUGAGAUUCCCUCAGUAGCGGCGAGCGAACGGGGAUCAGCCCAUUAAGUUAUGUGUGUUUUAGUGGAACGCUCUGGGAAGUGCGAACGUAGAGGGUGAUAUUCCCGUACACGAAAGGGCACACAUAAUGAUGACGAGUAGGGCGAGGCACGUGAAACCUUGUCUGAAUAUGGGGGGACCAUCCUCCAAGGCUAAAUACUCCUGACUGACCGAUAGUGAACCAGUACCGUGAGGGAAAGGCGAAAAGAACCCCUGUGAGGGGAGUGAAAUAGAUCCUGAAACCGCAUGCAUACAAGCAGUGGGAGCACCUUCGUGGUGUGACUGCGUACCUUUUGUAUAAUGGGUCAGCGACUUAUAUUCAGUAGCGAGGUUAACCGUAUAGGGGAGCCGUAGGGAAAUCGAGUCUUAAUAGGGCGUUUAGUUGCUGGGUAUAGACCCGAAACCAGGCGAUCUAUCCAUGAGCAGGUUGAAGGUUGGGUAACACUAACUGGAGGACCGAACCCACUGUCGUUGAAAAGCCAGGGGAUGACUUGUGGAUAGGGGUGAAAGGCUAAUCAAGCCUGGUGAUAGCUGGUUCUCCCCGAAAGCUAUUUAGGUAGCGCCUCGGACGAAUACCAUAGGGGGUAGAGCACUGUUUCGGCUAGGGGGUCAUCCCGACUUACCAAACCGAUGCAAACUCCGAAUACCUAUGAGUACUAUCCGGGAGACAGACUGCGGGUGCUAACGUCCGUAGUCAAGAGGAAAACAAUCCAGACCGCCAGCUAAGGCCCCAAAAUCAUAGUUAAGUGGGAAACGAUGUGGGAAGGCAUAGACAGCUAGGAGGUUGGCUUAGAAGCAGCCACCCUUUAAAGAAAGCGUAAUAGCUCACUAGUCGAGUCGGCCUGCGCGGAAGAUGUAACGGGGCUAAAACUAUGUGCCGAAGCUGCGGAUGUAUACUUUGUAUACGUGGUAGGGGAGCGUUCUGUAAGCCGAUGAAGGUGUGUUGAGAAGCAUGCUGGAGGUAUCAGAAGUGCGAAUGCUGACGUGAGUAACGACAAAACGGGUGAAAAACCCGUUCGCCGAAAGACCAAGGGUUCCAGUCCAACGUUAAUCGGGGCUGGGUGAGUCGACCCCUAAGGCGAGGCCGAAAGGCGUAGUCGAUGGGAAAAUGGUUAAUAUUCCAUUACUUCUGUGUAAUGCGAUGAGAGGACGGAGAAGGCUAAAUCAGCCUGGCGUUGGUUGUCCAGGUGAAAGGAUGUAGGCAUGUAUCUUAGGCAAAUCCGGGGUACUCUAUGCUGAGAUCUGAUAGCAAGCUGUACUUGUACAGCGAAGUGGUUGAUGCCAUGCUUCCAGGAAAAGUCUCUAAGCUUCAGUUACACAGGAAUCGUACCCGAAACCGACACAGGUGGUCAGGUCGAGUAGACCAAGGCGCUUGAGAGAACUCUGCUGAAGGAACUAGGCAAAAUGGUACCGUAACUUCGGGAGAAGGUACGCUGUUGUUGGUGAUGGAACUCGCUUCCUGAGCUGACGACAGCCGCAGAAACCAGGCCGCUGCAACUGUUUAUUAAAAACAUAGCACUCUGCAAACACGAAAGUGGACGUAUAGGGUGUGAUGCCUGCCCGGUGCUGGAAGGUUAAUUGAUGGGGUUAGCGUAAGCGAAGCUCUUGAUCGAAGCCCCAGUAAACGGCGGCCGUAACUAUAACGGUCCUAAGGUAGCGAAAUUCCUUGUCGGGUAAGUUCCGACCUGCACGAAUGGCAUAAUGAUGGCGGCGCUGUCUCCAGCAGAGGCUCAGUGAAAUCGAAAUCGCUGUGAAGAUGCAGUGUACCCGCGGCUAGACGGAAAGACCCCGUGAACCUUUACUGCAGCUUGACACUGAACUUUGACCUUACUUGUGUAGGAUAGGUGGGAGGCUUUGAAGCUGGAACGCUAGUUCCAGUGGAGCCGUCCUUGAAAUACCACCCUGGUAAUGUUGAGGUUCUAACUCUGUCCCGUGAUCCGGGACGAGGACCGUGUCUGGUGGGUAGUUUGACUGGGGCGGUCUCCUCCUAAAGAGUAACGGAGGAGUACGAAGGUGCGCUCAGCGUGGUCGGAAAUCACGCGUAGAGUAUAAAGGCAAAAGCGCGCUUAACUGCGAGACCCACAAGUCGAGCAGGUACGAAAGUAGGUCUUAGUGAUCCGGUGGUUCUGUAUGGAAGGGCCAUCGCUCAACGGAUAAAAGGUACUCUGGGGAUAACAGGCUGAUACCGCCCAAGAGUUCAUAUCGACGGCGGUGUUUGGCACCUCGAUGUCGGCUCAUCUCAUCCUGGGGCUGAAGCAGGUCCCAAGGGUAUGGCUGUUCGCCAUUUAAAGAGGUACGCGAGCUGGGUUUAGAACGUCGUGAGACAGUUCGGUCCCUAUCUACCGUGGGCGCUGGAAAUUUGAGAGGAUCUGCUCCUAGUACGAGAGGACCAGAGUGGACGAACCUCUGGUGUACCGGUUGUGACGCCAGUCGCAUCGCCGGGUAGCUAUGUUCGGAAGGGAUAACCGCUGAAAGCAUCUAAGCGGGAAGCCAUGCAAGACAACUUGAUUUAGUUAUACCUCUAGCUAAAAUGAACAGAUAAAGUAAGAUUCAAUCAGCCCAGUCUGUUACAGAUUUGGAAAACGCUUCGGCAUUAAAUAAGACCCAGGCAAGUAUCCAUAAACAGUUGUGCUGGCGACCAUAGCAAGAGUGAACCACCUGAUCCCUUCCCGAACUCAGAAGUGAAACCUCUUAGCGCUGAUGGUAGUGUGGGAUUACCCAUGUGAGAGUAAGUCAUCGCCAGCUCAUUAUU